rnacentral:rRNA from 1 species
UACAGAGGCCUCGAGCGUUAGGCGGAAUCACUGGGCUUAAAGCGUGUGUAGGCGGACUUCUAAGUACCUUGUGAAAUCCCACGGCUCACCCGUGGAACUGCUGGGCAUACUGGGAGUCUUGAGCCACCUAGGGGCGAGCGGAACAAAUGGUGGAGCGGUGAAAUGCGUAGAUAUCAUUUGGAACGCCAACGGAGAAAUCAGCUCGCUGGGGGUGUGCUGACGCUGAGACACGAAAGCCAGGGGAGCGAACGGG